rnacentral:rRNA from 1 species
CCUACGGGAGGCAGCAGUGGGGAAUAUUGGACAAUGGGCGAAAGCCUGAUCCAGCAAUGCCGCGUGAGUGAUGAAGGCCUUAGGGCUGUAAAGCUCUUUUACCCGGGAUGAUAAUGACAGUACCGGGAGAAUAAGCUCCGGCUAACUCCGUGCCAGCAGCCGCGGGUAAU